rnacentral:rRNA from 1 species
CACCCCGGUUCUCGUCAGACAACCGAAGUUAAGCAUCAUUGUGCGCGGUCAGUACUUGGGUGGUGACCACCUGGGAACACCGUGUGCCGUU